rnacentral:lncRNA from 1 species
CUGAUGAUUGGUAGCCUCUUGGGUUCCGGCCCCAUACCCAAUGUGGGAAUAGGGUUUCUAGGGAAAGUCUGGAGGUUAGGAUUAGGGUUGUGGUUAGGGUUGGGGUUGGGGUUGUGGUUAGGGUUAAGAGAAAAUUGCCCUUCAGGAGGACCAAAUACACGGGCACAUGUUCUCUAAUUCUAUUUCUCCUAUUGAUACAUCAUAAUCCUACAGGAAAUUGGGAGAUGUUAUGGUUUGUACCUGGAAAAAGAACAGAUAAGAGUAACAUUAUCCUCUAAGAGGAUAAACACCCAGACACUACCCAAACAAUACAUACUUUCUAAUUCCCAGGCUCCUCAGAAUACAUCUUUACGAAGCCAGGGUUAUAAUUUAAAGUACCGAUUUAAGAUUGUCAGUGUCAAGGUUAAAAUUAGGCUCUCAUACUUUUGUUUCAGGCCUGUGGGAUUCCUGAUAUCCACUUUUUGAGACCCAGGGGGUUAGGCUUAGGGUUAAGAUUAGAUUUGAGGCUUGAGUUCAACUUAGGGUUGGUAUCGGGGUCAAGGUCCAGGGAUUGAGUUGGGGUCAAGGUUCAGGGAUUACGGUUGGGUUCAAGGUUCAGGGAUUAGGGUUGGGUUAAGGUUCAGGGAUUAGGGUUGGGUUGGGUUUGGGGUUAGGUUUCUAGUUUUGAGUCGGUUGAUCCACUUCCAUCUCUGACACGUGGAAGCCGAAGGGGGGCAAAGGGAAUGGGUGCACUCCACAGCAUUGACGCGCUGGCCAGAGGGGUCUGGGCGCACCCGGCCAAAGUUGUAGACCCCAUGGUUGCCCACUUGUAGAAGUGCCCUGGGUUGCGUUGGUUGGGCUUAGAACCGUCCGUCCGUCGGGUUAAGGGAUGGUUAAGGUUAGGGUUAAGGUUAGGGUAGGGGUUAGAGUGGUUAAGGUUAGGGUUAAGGUUAGGGUUAAGGUUAGGGUUAGGGUUAGGGUAAGGAUAAGGGUUAAGGUUAGGGUUAGUUAAGGUGAGUCUUCAAGGUCUGUUUGUCCACGGAAGUGGAAAGCAUAGUUCAACCUAGGAGUUACUCCCCAUCUGAUCCUUCUUUUUUCUCCACGUUGUCUAUGUAUUUACUUCCGUGUCCGUCUGUCUUUUAGUCCUGGAUGUUUUCAAUCAUUGGUAUAAUUAAGAGUUAUUCCCUUCCAGGAUCCUCACUCCCAAUCAACCCAUGUCUAGUCAAAUCCAGCUGGUCUGUUUUGGGUAUACUCGGUGUAGGAUCAGGCAAAGGCCCUCGAGUUGCGUACCUUAUGUAGGUCCGGCCCUCAGUUGGUUGCCAUGUGUCCCUGUCGAGUGGUAAGUCAUUGAACUUCCAAUGGUUUGAGCAGACAAAAACCCAAAGGGCAAGCCCUCUUUACGGUUGUCAUGCAUCCGCCCUUGGAGUUCCGUCCAGCGUCCUUGUAGAUACAUGAUAGGUUAAGGAUCAGGCAAAACCCCAUAGUCGCGUACUGUAUGAGGGUCCGGUUUCUCGGAUUGGUUGCCAUGUUUCCAUACCAGCCAUGUCAGUCUGUCAUACUUGUGAGUUUCAGCAGACAAAGAAACCCUCAAGGAGGAAACCUCCCAGUUGUCGUGCAUCCGCCCCAAUUGUAGUCCUGGGUCAUCCGGUGGUUCGGGUGGCAGUGACCAAUUGGGCUACUCCCUUCCAGGAUCGUAGUGUGCCAGUGGU